AAAUGAAUAGACGGGGGCCCGCACAAGCAGUGGAGUAUGUGGUUUAAUUCGAAGCAACGCGAAGAACCUUACCAGGGCUUGACAUCCCGUGCAUAACCUAGAGAUAGGUGAAGUCCUUCGGGACACGGAGACAGGUGGUGCAUGGUUGUCGUCAGCUCGUGUCGUGAGAUGUUGGGUUAAGUCCCGCAACGAGCGCAACCCUUAUUGCCUGUUGCCAUCAUUAAGUUGGGGACUCAGGCGAGACUGCCGGUGACAAAUCGGAGGAAGGUGGGGACGACGUCAAAUCAUCAUGCCCCUUAUGUCCUGGGCUACACACGUACUACAAUGGCUGCCAACAAAGGGAAGCGAAGCCGCGAGGCGGAGCGAAUCCCCAAAAGCAGUCUCAGUUCGGAUUGCAGGCUGUAACCCGCCUGCAUGAAGUCGGAAUUGCUAGUAAUCGCGGAUCAGCAUGCCGCGGUGAAUACGUUCCCGGGCCUUGUACACACCGCCCGU
rnacentral:rRNA from 1 species